rnacentral:rRNA from 2 species
ACAACUUUUAACAACGGAUCUCUUGGCUCUCGCAUCGAUGAAGAACGCAGCGAAAUGCGAUAAGUAAUGUGAAUUGCAGAAUUCAGUGAAUCAUCGAAUCUUUGAACGCACCUUGCGCUCUCUGGUAUUCCGGGGAGCACGCCUGUUCGAGUGU